UUACAAGAACAAUGGGGGUGCGAGGU
rnacentral:piRNA from 1 species